AGACCCGAAACCCGGUGAUCUAGCCAUGGGCAGGUUGAAGGUUGGGUAACACUAACUGGAGGACCGAACCGACUAAUGUUGAAAAAUUAGCGGAUGACCUGUGGCUGGGGGUGAAAGGCCAAUCAAACCGGGAGAUAGCUGGUUCUCCCCGAAAGCUAUUUAGGUAGCGCCUCGUGAAUUCAUCUCCGGGGGUAGAGCACUGUUUCGGCUAGGGGGCCAUCCCGGCUUACCAACCCGAUGCAAACUGCGAAUACCGGAGAAUGUUAUCACGGGAGACACACGGCGGGUGCUAACGUCCGUCGUGAAGAGGGAAACAACCCAGACCGCCAGCUAAGGUCCCAAAGUCAUGGUUAAGUGGGAAACGAUGUGGGAAGGCCCAGACAGCCAGGAUGUUGGCUUAGAAGCAGCCAUCAUUUAAAGAAAGCGUAAUAGCUCACUGGUCGAGUCGGCCUGCGCGGAAGAUGUAACGGGGCUAAACCAUGCACCGAAGCUGCGGCAGCGACACUCAGGUGUUGUUGGGUAGGGGAGCGUUCUGUAAG
rnacentral:rRNA from 1 species